UAGCCUUUUAUCACUUUAGUUUACCUUUCAGAAUUUGUAAUAUCAACCUCUCUUUUAGGGCCUUCUUGGUAAAUCAAUGUUUACCCUCCCCAACACCUGUCACCAUCUUCAUCUUCUCUCUGUCUAUCCUUGUUCUCUGUAUCAUCUUUCCUUUGCUCUAGUAGAAGAAUCGUCUUCAACUUCAUCCGGUUAAUGGUUGGUUUGCCAUUAGGUUGUUCUACAAUUUUAGUAAAUAGACAAAAAUUUUGUUGACACAUGAAACUGCAAAAUCAAACCGUUUGUGUUUCUGCUAAUAUCUUUUUAAGUGUGGCAAAACAGCUCAACAGGGUACUUCUCCAGAGCCCCCAAGAAUCGCAGUGGAUAAAUCAGUGGAAUUUUCAUAUGAAGAACUUGCUAACGAAACCAACAACUUCAGUCUGUUUACUAUGCAGAGUUAAGAGGCGAGAAUGUCAAAUCUACCUAGAUGAAAUUGUUAACUGCUUGUGCACCUGUGUAGAAAUUCUUGGAGCACCAAAUUACAAAGCUUUUUGUUACUUGAAAUGCAGAAUGGCAAACAAACGAUCCAACAAGAAGCAUUAGGGGCAUUGGCUUCUUUAGCCCAAUCUGCUAAGAAACAACGUUAAGCUCUUGCCUUUCCUGCUGCAAUUUUAUAGCUGCAUGAUGAUGCCCAAGCUUUGCAGGUUUGUAAUUCUUCUGUGGAUCCCGCAGCAUUCCUAGCUGCUAUCGAAUCAGGAACUGUAAGGGUUUAUUUCAGAGAAAAAUGAUUCUGCGAGGUAACAUGCGAAGUUGCCAAGGUGAAUAUGCGUACUCGAAAAACGAUGAGGAUGAAAAGGAUGACAGCAAUAAUUGAAUCAUCUAUUGUGUGCAAGGUAUAAUUCAUGAUUCACUUUCAUUUGCAAUUUACAGUCUUUCUGUGAUGAAUAUUUGUCGUACCUAAUUUAUCUACAUGGCACACUACAACCAGUUGGAGGCCACCUUAGUUGAUGCAACAGUAGCAAUAUGUUUGAUAAUUUUGGUUCAAUGUGAUGGGUCUUGAGAAGCUGAUUGCAAUAGCUAAAGACAAUAUACGCUUCCUUGGAAAUGUGCCGCAACAGAAAAGGCACGAAAUUUGCAAGAAUCUUAAUGUUAAGUUGCAUGACCAACUCAUUUGAGGCUAUGAUUGGAUCUGUAGAUUGAGACAUCUAGCUCUUCCGAUAGAGGAAUCAAAUCAAGCACAAGUAGUAUCACUAGAAAUUUCCGAUAAAUAUCGAGUGGUUUGACUAAGCAUAUUCAGUACUACUGGAAGACACCUUCAAGAGUACUCUUUCUUUUUGGGAAACAAUGGCAUUUCUAAACUGCUUCUUUCUGCCUUUUUGUUGGUAUUUACUGCAGUAAAUAUUCAAUUUUGGGGUUUUCAGGAGAUGGGUGAGAAUGUAUAAUCAGUCAAUGUGCUGCUUCUGCCGUCUAAUUUUAUAAACUAGAAAAAAUCAUUUUUAUCUGAAUUUCCUCUUCAAAAUGAUAAAAGAAUUAUAUUUGGUGAAGUACUUACAAGUGAUUAGAGAAGUCUAUGACAACUAAUGCAAUUUUAAUUAUUCAUUAUUGAUACACUGUCUAUAAAUUCGCAUCCUAGGUUUUUUUUCUUUCAGUUGUUUUGCUAUAGGAAAUGGCGUAAUAGCUGCUUUGGUUUGUUGAGUAAAGCACGAGUAAUGAAGCCCCUUAGCCAACCCACAUCUACCGCAACGCGCGCGCACGGAAACAAACAUAGAGAGAACUUUAGAAAGUUGAUUUUUCUUCCUCAAUAAGCAAGCAAUUGGAUGAGUUCUGAAUCUUCUGAUAUCGCUUGCUCUCUUAUGUUCCUUCUUUUUUGUGGAAAAUUUACCUUUUCUAUUCUUACCUUUAUCCGACUUGCAUCUCACUGGUUACAUGUUUCUGUUGUAAAGAUCUUAUUAUUCCCUAUCCUUGCAAAUGUGUACAUAAUAUGUUUAUUUGUUACAAAUGGAUGGUGAAGCUUAACUCCUUGCCGAAGGACUAUUACAUGUAACUUUUCUUUAGGAUUAUCUAAUUGUUUACCUGGCAUGAAACUGUUUUCUCUUGUAGCUUUCGAAUGGAAUCUAUUAUUUUCUCUGUGAUUAUAAUUUUUUUAUAUGUUCUGCUUUUCCCGAGAUUCAUGGAGAGUGCAAGUGAAGCAGACUUCAGAUAAGCAUGUCAUUAUAACAAGUGAAUUUCCGAAUACGAGGACUGAAAUUCUGUCGUUUAUGUUAAAGUAGAUUUUGAAGGAAAAAAUGUAUACAAUGGAGAAACAGUUGGAGGAAUUGAGGAAAAAGGUUCGUUAUAUGGAAGGUGAAAAUGGGUCGGAAAGUGAAGCAGGUUUUGAGAAAACUAUAGGAGAUUUAGGUGGCCAUCAAGAAGAAGAUUAAUUAUUGUGAAUUGUUUCCUUCUGGCUUCUGUAUAGGUUUGUUUUAUAUUUAGGUGGUAGAAUGUAGAUCUUAUCAGAUAUUACUACGUCUUGUUGUUUUGUCUUGUUAGCUUUUGAUGUGUAGAAGUAGUAUAAGUGGCCGGCCUAAGAUUUUGUGCAA